rnacentral:rRNA from 1 species
AACGAACGCUGGCGGCAUGCCUAACACAUGCAAGUCGAACGAGACCUUCGGGUCUAGUGGCGCACGGGUGCGUAACGCGUGGGAACCUGCCCUUAGGUUCGGAAGAACUCCCCGAAAGGGGUGCUAAUACCGGCUAAUGUCUUCGGACCAAAGAUUUCUCGCCUUUGGAUGGGCCCGCGUUGGAUUAGCUAGUUGGUAGGGUAAAAGCCUACCAAGGCGACGAUCCAUAGCUGGUCUGAGAGGAUGAUCAGCCACACUGGGACUGGGACACGGCCCAGACUCCUACGGGAGGCAGCAGUGGGGAAUAUUGGACAAUGGGCGGAGGCCUGAUCCAGCAAUGCCGCGUGAGUGAUGAAGGCUUUAGGGUUGUAAAGCUCUUUUACCCGGGAUGAUAAUGACAGUACCGGGAGAAUAAGCUCCGGCUAACUCCGUG